AAUACCUUAUUUACAUGAGUAUUCACACCCUGGUUUUGUUUGUAAUAUACAGGUCUAAUAUACAGGUCUAAUAUACAGGUCUAUUAUACAGGUCUAAUAUACAGGUCAGGUCUAAUAUACAGGUCUAAUAUACAGGUCUAUUAUACAGGUCUAAUAUACAGGUCUAAUAUACAGGUCUAAUAUACAGGUCUAAUAUACAGGUCAGGUCUAAUAUACAGGUCUAAUAUACAGGUCUAUUAUACAGGUCUAAUAUACAGGUCUAAUAUACAGGUCUAUUAUACAGGUCUAAUAUACAGGUCUAAUAUACAGGUCUAUUAUACAGGUCUAAUAUACAGGUCAGGUCUAAUAUACAGGUCUAAUAUACAGGUCUAUUAUACAGGUCUAAUAUACAGGUCUAAUAUACAGGUCUAUUAUACAGGUCUAAUAUACAGGUCAGGUCUAAUAUACAGGUCUAAUAUACAGGUCAGGUCUAAUAUACAGGUCUAAUAUACAGGUCUAAUAUACAGGUCUAAUAUACAGGUCUAUUAUACAGGUCUAAUAUACAGGUCUAAUAUACAGGUCUAUUAUACAGGUCUAAUAUACAGGUCAGGUCUAAUAUACAGGUCUAAUAUACAGGUCAGGUCUAAUAUACAGGUCUAAUAUACAGGUCUAUUAUACAGGUCUAAUAUACAGGUCUAUUAUACAGGUCUAAUAUACAGGUCAGGUCUAAUAUACAGGUCUAAUAUACAGGUCUAUUAUACAGGUCUAAUAUACAGGUCUAAUAUACAGGUCUAUUAUACAGGUCUAAUAUACAGGUCAGGUCUAAUAUACAGGUCUAAUAUACAGGUCUAUUAUACAGGUCUAAUAUACAGGUCUAAUAUACAGGUCUAAUAUACAGGUCUAAUAUACAGGUCAGGUCUAAUAUACAGGUCUAAUAUACAGGUCUAUUAUACAGGUCUAAUAUACAGGUCUAUUAUACAGGUCUAAUAUACAGGUCUAAUAUACAGGUCUAAUAUACAGGUCUAAUAUACAGGUCUAUUAUACAGGUCUAAUAUACAGGUCUAUUAUACAGGUCUAAUAUACAGGUCUAAUAUACAGGUCUAAUAUACAGGUCUAAUAUACAGGUCAGGUCUAAUAUACAGGUCUAUUAUACAGGUCUAAUAUACAGGUCAGGUCUAAUAUACAGGUCUAAUAUACAGGUCAGGUCUAAUAUACAGGUCUAAUAUACAGGUCUAAUAUACAGGUCUAAUAUACAGGUCUAAUAUACAGGUCUAUUAUACAGGUCUAAUAUACAGGUCUAAUAUACAGGUCUAUUAUACAGGUCUAAUAUACAGGUCAGGUCUAAUAUACAGGUCUAAUAUACAGGUCUAUUAUACAGGUCUAAUAUACAGGUCUAAUAUACAGGUCUAAUAUACAGGUCUAAUAUACAGGUCAGGUCUAAUAUACAGGUCUAAUAUACAGGUCUAUUAUACAGGUCUAAUAUACAGGUCUAAUAUACAGGUCUAAUAUACAGGUCUAAUAUACAGGUCUAUUAUACAGGUCUAAUAUACAGGUCUGAUAUACAGGUCUAUUAUACAGGUCUGAUAUACAGGUCUAAUAUACAGGUCUAAUAUACAGGUCUAAUAUACAGGUCUAAUAUACAGGUCUAUUAUACAGGUCUAAUAUACAGGUCUAAUAUACAGGUCUAAUAUACAGGUCUAAUAUACAGGUCUAAUAUACAGGUCUAAUAUACAGGUCUAUUAUACAGGUCUAAUAUACAGGUCUAAUAUACAGGUCUAUUAUACAGGUCUAAUAUACAGGUCUAAUAUACAGGUCUAAUAUACAGGUCUAUUAUACAGGUCUAAUAUACAGGUCUAUUAUACAGGUCUAAUAUACAGGUCUAAUAUACAGGUCUAAUAUACAGGUCUAUUAUACAGGUCUAAUAUACAGGUCUAAUAUACAGGUCUAUUAUACAGGUCUAAUAUACAGGUCUAAUAUACAGGUCAGGUCUAAUAUACAGGUCUAAUAUACAGGUCUAAUAUACAGGUCUAAUAUACAGGUCUAUUAUACAGGUCUAUUAUACAGGUCUAAUAUACAGGUCUAAUAUACAGGUCUAAUAUACAGGUCUAAUAUACAGGUCUAAUAUACAGGUCUAAUAUACAGGUCUAUUAUACAGGUCUAUUAUACAGGUCUAUUAUACAGGUCAGGUCUAAUAUACAGGUCUAAUAUACAGGUCUAAUAUACAGGUCUAUUAUACAGGUCUAAUAUACAGGUCUAAUAUACAGGUCUAUUAUACAGGUCUGACAUACAGGUCUAAUAUACAGGUCUAAUAUACAGGUCUAAUAUACAGGUCUAAUAUACAGGUCUAAUAUACAGGUCUAAUAUACAGGUCAGGUCUAAUAUACAGGUCUGAUAUACAGGUCUAUUAUACAGGUCUAUUAUACAGGUCUAAUAUACAGGUCAGGUCUAAUAUACAGGUCUGAUAUACAGGUCUGAUAUACAGGUCUAAUAUACAGGUCUAAUAUACAGGUCUAAUAUACAGGUCUAAUAUACAGGUCUAAUAUACAGGUCUAAUAUACAGGUCUAAUAUACAGGUCUAAUAUACAGGUCUAAUAUACAGGUCUAAUAUACAGGUCAGGUCUAAUAUACAGGUCUGAUAUACAGGUCUAUUAUACAGGUCUAUUAUACAGGUCUAAUAUACAGGUCAGGUCUAAUAUACAGGUCUGAUAUACAGGUCUGAUAUACAGGUCUAAUAUACAGGUCUAAUAUACAGGUCAGGUCUAAUAUACAGGUCUAAUAUACAGGUCUAAUAUACAGGUCUAAUAUACAGGUCUAUUAUACAGGUCUAAUAUACAGGUCUAAUAUACAGGUCUAAUAUACAGGUCUAAUAUACAGGUCUAAUAUACAGGUCUAAUAUACAGGUCUAAUAUACAGGUCUAAUAUACAGGUCUAUUAUACAGGUCUAAUAUACAGGUCUAAUAUACAGGUCAGGUCUAAUAUACAGGUCUAAUAUACAGGUCAGGUCUAAUAUACAGGUCUAAUAUACAGGUCUAAUAUACAGGUCUAAUAUACAGGUCUAAUAUACAGGUCUAAUAUACAGGUCUAAUAUACAGGUCUAAUAUACAGGUCUAAUAUACAGGUCUAUUAUACAGGUCUAAUAUACAGGUCUAAUAUACAGGUCUAAUAUACAGGACUAAUAUACAGGUCUAAUAUACAGGUCUAAUAUACAGGUCUAAUAUACAGGUCUAAUAUACAGGUCUAAUAUACAGGUCUAAUAUACAGGUCUAAUAUACAGGUCUAAUAUACAGGUCUAAUAUUCAGGUCUAAUAUACAGGUCUAAUAUACAGGUCAGGUCUAAUAUACAGGUCUAAUAUACAGGUCUAAUAUACAGGUCUAAUAUACAGGUCUAAUAUUCAGGUCUAAUAUACAGGUCUAAUAUACAGGUCUAAUAUACAGGUCUGAUAUACAGGUCUAAUAUACAGGUCUAAUAUACAGGUCUAAUAUUCAGGUCUAAUAUACAGGUCUAAUAUACAGGUCAGGUCUAAUAUACAGGUCUAAUAUACAGGUCUAAUAUACAGGUCUAAUAUACAGGUCUAAUAUUCAGGUCUAAUAUACAGGUCUAAUAUACAGGUCUAAUAUACAGGUCUAAUAUACAGGUCUAAUAUACAGGUCUAAUAUACAGGUCUAAUAUACAGGUCUAAUAUACAGGUCUAAUAUACAGGUCUAAUAUUCAGGUCUAAUAUACAGGUCUAAUAUACAGGUCAGGUCUAAUAUAUAGGUCUAAUAUACAGGUCUAAUAUACAGGUCUAAUAUACAGGUCUAAUAUUCAGGUCUAAUAUACAGGUCUAAUAUACAGGUCUAAUAUACAGGUCUAAUAUUCAGGUCUAAUAUACAGGUCUAAUAUACAGGACAGGUCUAAUAUACAGGUCUAAUAUACAGGUCUAAUAUUCAGGUCUAAUAUACAGGUCUAAUAU